AUCGCUUCUCGGCCUUUUGGCUAAGAUCAAAGUGUAGUAUCUGUUCUUAUCAGCUUAAUAUCUGAUACGGGUCCUAUUUGGACCCAAGAUAUUAAACUCAUUUUUGGAAUCGGGCGGAGUGCUUGAAGCUUGCUUCACCUCCGCCACGGGUUGGCCCGGUAUUGCACUGCCUCCGGGAUCGGCCCACUCACC
rnacentral:snRNA from 1 species